ensembl:rRNA 5S_rRNA 5S ribosomal RNA
GCCAGCAGCCAUAUCACCUUGCAACUCACAACUGGCAGCCCACUGAAGCUAAGCAGGUGUGAGCCUGGUCAGUUCCUGGAUGGGAGACCUCCUGGGAAAAACUAAGGUUGCUGCUGGAA